UGCGUGUGGCGGGGGGUUGGAGACUCGUGGUCCUUGAGGUCCCUUCCAACCCAGGCCAUUCUGUGAUUCUGUGAUAGUCUUCUCUUUAGAGCCUGCACUGCAACAUCUUCUACCCCAGGGACAAACCUUUGCUUUUGCCCCUGCUGAGUUGCAUGAGGUUGCAUCUGGCCUCUGUUCCUCUAACCUGCUGAGGUCAGGCUGAGUGGUGGUCUGUUCUCCCAAAAUGCAGCAGCUGCUCUCACAGUAAGACAUCUGGAAGGGUAGGUUGGAACCCAGCCUUCCAGUGGGCACUUGGGUGUGUGGCAGGGGCUGGGCAGGGUGUCUUGAGAGCCGCCCAGCCUCUCCUCCACACCUGCUGAGCACUCCUGGAGAGCUGUGGGAACUGCUGGUUCCCUGGAAGGCAGCUCACAGGAUGUGGUCAGAGCUGCAGCCACUCUUACUUCUCCUUUGGGGAGGUGAAAGGACAGCCCAAGUGUGGUCAGAGAUUUUCUGCAGUUACAUUAGUACUAGACCACCUGCAAUCCUUGAAGCGAGCGUUUCACAUCCCUUUCAGGUGAAGUUGAGGUUGUAGAGAUGAGGCCCAAAACUUGCCAUAGUAAGGUUCCAGAUCAGGUGAGCACUGGGCACCUCCAUCAUGCACAGCGUUUCUGUGUGCCUGGGAAAUCUGGCCACGCCAGUGCUGGUGCAUGCUGCUGCUCCCAAAGACCCAGGCUUGCCUUCACGUGGGAAAUGUGGUGAAAAAAGCACCUGCAGAAGUUAUGCAUGCAAUUGUUCACCAAUGUGGGGCACUGGGAUGCACAGAGCCAGCAGAGCCUCCGGAACCUCUGUUCAGUUUUUGUGGAGAUGCCCGCUGUGCUCCUUGACUUCAUAAUCCCUGAAGUCCUGAUCGAUUUGUGGCAUACUGAUGGCCAGGCAUUUAUUACGGCCACGUAAAAGCUGGGCAUAGCAUGAUAUAGGUGGGCAAUCACAUCUCAUUGUAAAGUGUUUGGAGGAGAAGUCCACCUCACAGCUGUUUCCAAAGCUGAACCUUGCAGCCAGUCAGGGUGACUUUACCAUGUAACUCAUGAUAAAGCUAUUCCAAGGUUAGAAGCAAAAUAAGAAAUCAGGCUGAUGGAGCUUUUACUCCCAGAGUUUGAUCUGACAGUUGCAUUUCGUUUUUAAGGGCUGUGUGCAGGGCAGAAUCAUGAGAUUAAUUCCUGCAUACCCAGAGGCUAAUAUCAAUACUCUCUAGUGACGUUAAAUUGGGUUGAUUAUUUGCAGGCUGUGCCAUGUGUCCAGGUCACGAUCCUGGGCUGGGCUCCCGAUGCCUUUACAAACGAAGCAAGGUGUGAUAACGAGGAGUGGCCGAGGAGGGGCAGGUGGCAGGAGGCAGAGCUGUGCCUGGCAGAGCUGUGCCUGCCUAGCUGGCGGCCUUCCUUCUCUUACACUAUGCGGCUGGGACUCUCCCCUUGCUGUUCCCUUAGCACGGGACUGUGCCCAGUGCUGGGAAGUUCAGAUCUUCCUGAUAAAGGGAGAAAAGCCAGGAGGAUAUUCAGAAAAAGUAAAGCUGCCUCUAAGCGGUCUCCUUGCUUUGCAGAAGACUCCUAAGCCAAGCCCGAUUGCCAAGGUCAGCUUCCACCCACGUUGUGUAAAAAAGAUAGGUAUUUGCCACAACGUGAGAAGCUGUAGACAUUGCUUAGUGAUCUGAUUUCACAGCUGUGGGGCACUGACCAUGUUUUACACUUCACUAACAUACUAAAGGAUCUCAGAACAGCCACUGCUGUGUGAGACCAGCUCACUUCACCCGUACAGGCUGAGCCCAUAGCGAUGUGCUGGGUCUCAUAGAACCCAGCAGAGCCUUCUGAAGGUCUCCAGCCCUGACUUUCAGCAGGUCUCUCCCCAGCAGUAAGCAGGUCAGACUGGCUGUGGCGAUGUACAGCUGUGUCUGGAAACACCCCCCAGGAUGGAGACCUCCUCUCUCCCUGCUGCACGCUCCUGGGGAAGGCUGCCCUGAUGCCCACGAUAAGCCUUCCAGGGCUGCACUUUGAGGCUGCUGCUCCCUGUUACAUCAGGAGAUGAUGGUUUUGCUUUUGCAUUUUUAUCAUUUAUAUGCCAAUGGAUGUAUAGCCCAAUGUUCCUAUUUUGCUGCUGAUGUCAAAUAAAGUAUUUUCAGUUAUUAUGUUUGGCAGUAUUACUCUAUGAAAGCGGCUUCUCCCGGUGCUCUCGCUGUCUGGGUGGGCUCAGGAGUGAUGCAGGGCUGGGGAAGCUGCUGUGAGGCCUCACCUUGCUGCCUCGUGCAUCAACGGCAAAGGCAAGAAGUGGGGGGGAAACAAGUGCAGCAAAGUGCUGUGUUUUACCCGUUUCAAGCAUAAAACAUAGACUUUCCCCUUGCAUGCACACAACCCAGAUGCUGGAAAUGCACACUGUGCACUCUUCUUCAGGGCCGGGCUGUUUUACAGAGUUUGGUCUGAGCACAGAUCUGAGGGGAUAAGCUGGAUGAAAUGGGAGGCAAGAGCUUUGUCCUCACCUGGACAAAGUCCCAAGGGCUAUGGCAUGGCUCCCAGUACCUAAAGGAAGCUCAUAAACAGGAGGAGAGUAUUUCUAUAGUCUGAUAGUGGUAGGACAAAGGGGAAUGGUUUUAAACUGAACGAGGGGAAACUCAGGUUAGAUGUUAAGAAGAAAUUCUUCUCUCAGAGGAUGGUGAGGCACCAGCAUAGACUGCCCAUAGAAAUGUGGGUGCCCCAUCCCUGGAGGUGCUCAAGGCCGGGUUGGCUGGGCCCUGAGCAGCCUGGUCUGGGGGGACAACCAGCCCAUGGUAGGGGGUUGGAACUGGGUGGGCUUUAAGGUCCCUUCCCACCCUAGACGUUCUAUAACUUCAGAUCAAGUGCAGACCCUCCAUGUCUCCUCAUGGGGUUCUUCCUGCCCUGGCAGAUAUUUUCCUGCUCCUCUUCCAUUUCCCCAUGUCCCUCUUGAAUUGCAGAGCCACAGACCAGAUUUCAGGUGCUUUUGUGCUCUGGCCUCUGAUGUGCUGUCACCUUUAGCAUCUCUGGGUGAUGAUCACCAAUGGUCAUGCAAGGUCCUGGGGCUCACUGAAAGCAUCCUCUUGCCAGAUGUGCUAGAGCAGGUGACAGAUUUAUCAUAACAGUGGCAAUGUGGCAUGCCUGCACUACCUCCUCCCCCAGAGGAUGCCCCCAAAGCACUGCACAGGAGCACUGGCUGUAGAUGAAAUCUCAGAGGUUGGCCAAAGCCUGAGAACUGUCACAAGAACAGAUCUGCUCCUGGGCCCUGCUGUCAGAGCCUGGGCCUUGCUGUCAGGGCCCUCGCUGUGCCAACAGGCUCCACGGUCUCUCCCAGCUCCAUGGACUCAGUUGCCCACGCUUGAGGCCAGUCCCCAUACGGUGCAGCUGCAAUAUGGGGUCAGGCUGGUGGGAGGGUGGCCAAGGUGUGAGAAAGUGUUGCGUCUCCUUCUCUUUGGCUUAAAGAUCUCUGGAUAUACAGAUGGCAGAGGUGAGAUGUUCUCCUCGGUACCUGGGACAUGAGAGUCCUGUCUCUCUGCCUGAGAGGAGGGCUGUUGCUCUAGUGCUCUGCCCUGGCCAGGAGAGAGAAGCUGUUAUGGCAGCCGUGUUCUUUAGCUGUCUUCCUUCAGCUACCAGCCUGCAAGGCCUCGCUCUCCAGCAGACUGAGAACAGGUGCUGAUGGCAUCCCAAGAAUUGUCUGGGCUGCUGCCAGAUCUCAAACACUGUGGGGCACCUGGGCUCGGUGGCUGAGUCUGGGGUCACAGCUUCACCUCCAUCAUCCAUAGGCCAGCACAGGGCCUGGAGAUGGUCCCCAAGAACCACUGCUGGCUUCCAAGGAACACUUCUCUGUCUCCAAUGCGAUGCGUGUGCCAAGGAGAGCCUAGGAAGCAUGCAGUGAGGAUAUUCAUCAGUUACAGGCUGACUUCAUGGUGCACAACUGCAAAUGCAUAAUGACUACAAACCAUUUCUCAAAGACUUAGCCUUCUUGCUUUUCAGUUCCUUGCCCGAGCUGCUGGCAGCAUUGGUCUCAGGGCAAAUACUGCUGUUGCAAGUGUGACUUGUCAUGGAAGUGAUUAUUUAUAAGCAUCACAAGGGGCCUGGACAUGAAAAUUCUGGCUCCCAUCCACUUCUCUACACUAGAACUGAGUAUUUCUGUCUCUAUUGCUUUUAAUAAAAUCCUUCCUUUGCCAGGGACCAUGAGGUGCACAGUGCAGACACCCCGUCUCCUCGCUCCCUCGGGGACUGCUGCUCCCAGCACAUGUGCAUGGCCAGAACUGGGGUGGCACAGGCAGCACAACCUCCUCUCUUCUUAGCUGAGAUGGGAGCUGCUUGGCAUCACCUCCUCUCUGGUCAGGCACUGGUGGGGCUGGCGCAGAGCAGAGCAGCUGCAGUGCUGGUGCAGCCCUCCUGGUGCAGUGGCCAUCUAUGGAGUAGAACAUCAGCAGGAGUUACUUCUUUCCCUUGAAGGUGGAUUGCUACAGCUCUGCCCGUUUUGUGUCCUUGCUCCAGCAGUGCUGAAACUCCGACAGCAGGAGUUAGAAAUUGGAUUUGUUACAGCAUUGCAGUGCUGUUAUGUCUGGUGUUUUUUCUGUUUCCGGGAUGUUGUCUGAAACAGGAUAAUCACUUACUCAUGUGCAACCAGCAGCCACAUGGAAGCUGCUCACAGGAGAAGGCGCAGCCUAUUCUAACAAAGAAAUUCCGUUCUGUUUUAUUUUUCCAACCAACAUUCCCAAAACAAAUUAAUUGAGUGUCUCCUUUUGUUCUGGCUUUUGUGUUUGUCUCACAGCAGCUGGAGGCAAUUGGGCACAGAAGAUGUGGGAUGCUGGUCUUAGGAUAAGGACCUUGUCCUGAAUUUUUCCUGUAGGAACCCCUGAGGAGACGUGGAGGGUCUGCACCUGGUUCCUCUGGGGACGAACAGCAGGGGAUUUAGCAUCAGCUGGAUGGGCCUCUGCCAGUGGCGAAGCAUUUCCUGGUUGUGCCAGCUGAUGUAAAGUGCAGCCCUGGAAGGCUUAUCAUGGGCAUCAGGGCAGCCUUCCCCAGGAGCGUGCAGCAGGGAGAGAGGAAGUCUCCAUCCAGAAAUGCCAGAAAGGGGAAGAUUUUUCUUCUUUGGUCUCAUUUGUGUAGUGCAUUCACAUGACCACAGAUGGAAUACUUUGGAGAAGAUGUAAGAAGAGGAUUUCAGUUUAAUCAGGUCCAGGCACAAAUUUUGGACGUGCAGCUUAACCAGCAGAGCACCAGCAGCGUCUGAGUCCUCUGCUCACAGAGCCAAGAGCUAUCCGGGCGUUUGGUCACUUGACAAACAGGUCAGAAGCAAACAAGAUCACAUCAGUCUGCUGUUAACCACCCACUCCACAGAUGCUGAGGCUGUAAAGCUGGGUGACCCUGUGAGCUGGGCUGAUGUAGCCAGCAUGAGCCACUUCUCUUUCUUGGCCAUGUCCUCCUAGAAUGAAACGUUCUGUCAUCUGAGAUCAGCUGUUUCCUGCCAUUUGUCUCCCUGGGGAAGACCACCGGCCUGAAGCAAGGUCCUCUGAGGUCAUCUGUCGGUUUGCAGAGAAGCGAGACUGAUGUGGAGGUGGCCCAAGAGCUGUCCCAGCUUCGGUUCCUCUGCCAUAGGAUGUUCCUGUGCUGCAAUUCAUGAGUGCGGGGAGCAUGCAACAUCUGCCCCUGUCUCACGCCGGCAUCCUUCCAGAUUUCAGGCCUGAAACUGCUCAGAAGAGGAAUUUCCAAAACAAAUGUUGCUAUUUGAAGAAUGCGGGGGCUAGGGGGUGGGGAAGAAAUAAUCACAACAGAGAUAAGGACCUGAUAGCUGAACAGGCUCUGGCUCAGGCUGGUCUGGGACAAGGAUCGCCUGGAGCCAGAGCUGAGGGUCCGGCUGGGGAAGCGGCAGCACAGAGGGGCUGCUCUGCUGUCUCCCUUUGCCCCGGGCUGCUGAGGGUCCUCUCCCCAGGACCAGUUCUGCUCGGCAUCCCUCCAACCACACGGCACUGCUGUGAUGUCGGUGUCCCGUGGAAAACACCCUGACCGGGGGUCUGCUCCCCUCCUCCCAGCCUGAGAGAAGGGGUGGAGCGGCUCAGGGCAGGGAGUUCAGGAAGAACUGGUUUGCAAAAACCAGAUGCCUGCACCCGGUUUGGCUGCUCCUUUCCUUGGUUUAUGGCAGCUGGGUGUGUGCAGAAGCAAGAUCCCUCUGUCUGCAGUGUGUUCCCCUUUUGAUGGCAUCUGGGCUUGCCUUAUCCCCAUCAGCUGCAGCACAAAGGGCUCUUGGUGCUGCCCACAGAUGCACUUCAGUCUCAGCUCCCUAGGGCUGAGCUCACAUCUGGCGUUAUUGGCCCCCGGCUGCACUUCUGUCAUUUAUUUAUUAAAGUUAAUUUCAUCAGGCUGCAGUGAUUUAUUCAGGUCUGGAGCCUCCCGUAACAGGGAGCCAUUAUUUGGUGUGCCACCAGCUCUCUGCCAUCUGCGACCUCCACGCAGGUUCCACAACAGCUGCUUUCCAAAAGGUCAGCAAACCACUUUAUCAGCGCAGUUCCUUGUUUCUCGGUCUUACCAAGCCAUCAAGCGAUGUUAAAUCAAAAAUAUGCAGAGGGAAGCUGAUUAUGUAACAGGAACACCGUUCCCUUUAUUUGAUUAAGGCAGUAAUCCCAUCUUGUUUUUCUCUAAAAGGAGGGAAAACAAGUCUGACAAUACCGUGCCUCACCUCUGAUUAGAGCAGCAUUUCAGCCUCCUUGCUGACGUGGAUGCUCGGAUGUCUGGUGCUUGGAUUAGUGGACAUCUGCUCCCAGGAUCACGCUUCCUUUACCUUGGUGCAGGAAAUGCACUGCAAGCUUCCCUUCUACGAGGAAUUGCAAGAGAACCCUAGCGGAUUGCAGGGUCCCCCUGCUGCCCUCUGGACUACCCCCCCCAAAAAAGCAGGGGCUUCUUCAUCAGAGGCUGUGACAGGAGCGUGCUCAGUGUUUUGCAGUAUUUCCAUGGAAAGGGACCAUGCUGGAAGCUGGACAGGAUCUGAAGUUAUAGAACGUCUAGGGUGGGAAGGGACCUUAAAGCCCACCCAGUUCCAACCCCCUACCAUGGGCUGGUUGUCCCCCCAGACCAGGCUGCUCAGGGCCCAGCCAACCCGGCCUUGAGCACCUCCAGGGAUGGGGCACCCACAUUUCUAUGGGCAGUCUAUGCUGGUGCCUCACCAUCCUCUGAGAGAAGAAUUUCUUCUUAACAUCUAACCUGAGUUUCCCCUCGUUCAGUUUAAAACCAUUCCCCUUUGUCCUACCACUAUCAGACUAUAGAAAUACUCUCCUGUUUAUGAGCUUCCUUUAGGUACUGGGAGCCAUGCCAUAGCCCUUGGGACUUUGUCCAGGUGAGGACAAAGCUCUUGCCUCCCAUUUCAUCCAGCUUAUCCCCUCAGAUCUGUGCUCAGACCAAACUCUGUAAAACAGCCCGGCCCUGAAGAAGAGUGCACAGUGUGCAUUUCCAGCAUCUGGGUUGUGCGCAUGCAAGGGGAAAGUCUAUGUUUUAUGCUUGAAACGGGUAAAACACAGCACUUUGCUGCACUUGUUUCCCCCCACACCUCUUGCCUUUGCCAUUGAUGCACGAGGCAGCAAGGUGAGGCCUCACAGCAGCUUCCCCAGCCCUGCAUCACUCCUGAGCCCACCCAGACAGCGAGAGCACCGGGAGAAGCCCCUUUCAUAGAGUAAUACUGCCAAACAUCAUAACUGAAAAUACUUUAUUUGACAUCAGCAGUAAAAUAGGAACAUUGGGCUAUACAUCCAUUGGCAUAUAAAUGAUAAAAAUGCAAAAGCAAAACCAUCUGUGGGAGACCUGUGAACAGUCUGGUACAUAAGUAACA